GAUCUUUUUUUUAUUUUUCCAUUUAAAUGUAAAGGGUCGCCCAGUCCUAUGUGAACCAGAAGAAACUCGACACAGAGACAAAGAUCCUCCAGGCCAACGCUGCCCAUUUCGCCAAGAUGACCAUGCAGUGGCUAAAGUUAGUGGAAGACUUCAACACAGCAUUGAAGGAAAUUGGUGAUGUCGAGAAUUGGGCUCGUAACAUUGAGGCCGACAUGCGGACAAUAUCCAGUGCUUUAGAAUAUGCUUACCGUAAAACUGAAGAAAAUGAAGACACGUGACAAGAAUGAUGACCAUCACAUCACCUGACACCAUGUGCC